GAGGGAAACAAGGCAUACAGAAUUCAUAGAAUGGCUUAGGGCCUUUCCUCCAGGCGGUAAGAGGAUCUGCGUGUGCCCUUCGCAGGGGUCCAAAGAAAAAUAAUAACUGGGGGCUUGGGGAAUACUGACACCCAGAAACUGACUUUCUCUCCAAGAAGUUUCUGCCGCCAUCCCUAUUUUAUCAGCAGGAGGAUCCGGCGCCAUCGUCCCAGUCUUUAUGAUUUUAUUAUGGGGAGGUGGGAAACGCCACCCAGGAUUCCUCCAGGCCUUCCCUCUUAAGGUUGGAGGGGGGGGGGGGGGGCUCCCCCUCAUUCUUUUUCUUUAAACCUCUGUCUUGAAGGUACUCCUCAGCACCCCUCUUUACAGCGGCCUAUCCCCCAGGAUCGGUAAAGGCGCUGUCGAAGCCACCAUCCUCGCCGUUAAGGCGGGAGGGCCCGAGCACGCCAGGGCCACGGCGAUGGCUCUGAGGGGCCCAGAAAGGGGAAGGGCAGGCCAGGGACUAAGGGAGAAUGACCUGACUAAGGAAGAAUGGAAAAAGGAGGUGAGAAGAUGCACUGCACCCCAGGGCUGCACAGAGAAGAGAAGAUGAUGAAGAAGGAGGAGGGCGGUGGCCCGGGUGCGGCCCCCCACCUCUCCCGCCCCCAGGUCCCCGGACCGGCGGGGGCGGAUGGGAUCGGCCCAUUCCCCGGGUCUUAGCUGACAAGGGGGGGUGGUAGGGGGGUGGGGGUGUCUCCCUCCACACUGCGAAGAGACCGAGAACAAGGCAUGGGGUACGCGGGGGGGCUGUCUCCCGCCUGAACCCGGAGACCCGACGCCGUCGUCGCCUCUUCCUCAGAAGGGAGGACGGGAGCUAUGGGUAAAGCCCGAGGGAGAAAUGCAUGAAGGUAAGGGGAAGCCCAGGGCGGAACGGCGGUCCGCUCCAGACCCCACUCUCCACCUUCCGGUAACCGCGUCUCUUACCGGUGAUGGCGGUGAACUGCUGAAUUAACCCCUUCAGCGCCGAGGACGCCGCGGAGCCCCCGUGGGCAGCCAUCUUACCGCCGCCGCCGCUGCCGCCGAACAACAACACAGACACACACGGACCUCCCUCCCCCACCUCGCCGCGCGGUUUGCGCAGGCUCAUUGACCGCCCCCAAACUCCGCCCCUCCCGCCCC
rnacentral:lncRNA from 1 species